AGGAGGCUGGAGGAGGAGGAGGCUGCCGAGGCUGGAGGAGGCUGCUGUAGCUGGCGGAGGCUGGAGGAGGAGGAGGCUGCCGUAGGUGGAGGAGGAGAAGGAGGCUGCCGUAGGUGUAGCUGGAGGAGGCUGCCGUAGCUGGAGGAGGCUGCCGUAGCUGGAGGAGGCUGCCGAAGGUGGAGGAGGCUGCCGAAGGUGGAGGAGGCUGCCGUGGCUGCCGAAGGUGGAGGAGGCUGCCGAAGGUGGAGAAGGCUUCUGUAGGUGGAGGAGGCUGCUGAAGGUGUAGGCAGAGACUUCUUCGCUUGGCUUUUGCUGCCCAGCUGUGUCAUAUUCACUCAUCAUUGACUGAUGACCCCUGAACAGAUUUCCGGCCCUUCUUCAUACACCUUGUCUUCCACCUUCACAGUCAUGGCACAACACUCAGGAGUGCUGUGAGUUGCAUGACACCUGCAGAGGCUCCAUACUACAGACUACUUCUACUCGGUACUACAGAAACCGGAUCACUUGACAAGCCUGUGUCCUGUUUUGGCCUUCCACACUCUGUAGGAUUGCAUAGGCUCCAUUUCUUCUCCCACAUCACCAUUCCAAAACAACUCCAGAUGUUUCGUUUGUAUUAUGGCCAGUUUCUUUACAUCUGUUACACUACCUGUGUUUUGCACCCAAAACUGGACUGCUCUAUCUGUUUCUUGUUUUUUAUCAUUAUCACUUGCAUUGCUGUAAAUAUGUUCCAUUAGCUCAGUUUUGCAACUAUGAAGUGUACAGUUUUGUUGUUGUAUUACUGUUACGCUGAGCAAAAAGAAACCUCAAACCUUACUCUUAGGCCUAUGUGAAUUCUUCAUGCGUGUCGUGCUCUGUCAACAGUUUGAUGCUUACAAAGCAUUCCAAGUGUCUGUAUGAUGUUCUACCAUUAUGCUAUGCCUUCACACAGUUAAUAACAAAAGGUAUACAGUAUUAAAAAUGCAUAUUCACACUAGGUUAUUGUCUACCUUGGCACCAUAGCAGUGAGCAUCCAGUGUAUUUCUGUGUUCAAAACAUACAUAAAUACAUUUUUUUUUUAAAUUAAUUGACCCACUCAAGUACUGGUUAUACAGUUGUUGUCUUUUUUUAAUUAUAAUUUAUUUAGUCCACAUGACAGAUCCAUGGCCCUGCUCCAUGCCACUGAUUCAGAGUCGUGUGUAGGGACUACACGUCUCUGCCCUGAUCCUCUUCACUCUGCCUGCAUGCAACGAUGCAUGUUUUUGGCAGGUCUGAUGCAGCCUCAUAAAGGCUAAAGCUGGCCUGCGUCUCACUGCUAGAGAUCUA